AAUAACCAAAAAUAACACUUGGGCUAAGGGUCAAGUUGAUAAUUUUUCUUACAUCCCCUCCCCCCCUCCCCCCCCCCGGGAGCCCAGGUAUCAUACACGCCCCCAAAAUGAAGAGCCUUGAAUACUAGAAGAAAAGCACCUAUACCUAACAAGAUUAGGUGAAUACCCAAAAUUGUGGUUGAGACGACUUAAAAAUAAUUUUUAACUUCCAA
rfam:Citrus clementina cultivar Clemenules unplaced genomic scaffold scaffold_8, whole genome shotgun sequence.